rnacentral:rRNA from 1 species
AUUGAACGCUGGCGGCAGGCCUAACACAUGCAAGUCGAGCGAGCGGCGGACGGGUGAGUAAUGUAUGGGGAUCUGCCCGAUAGAGGGGGAUAACUACUGGAAACGGUGGCUAAUACCGCAUACUAUCGGAUGAACCCAUAUGGGAUUAGCUAGUAGGUGGGGUAAAGGCUCACCUAGGCGACGAUCUCUAGCUGGUCUGAGAGGAUGAUCAGGCAAAUUGGUAUGGGACAAAGGUCCAGACUCCUACGGGAGGCAGCAGUGGUGAAUAUUGCACAAUGGGCGCAAGCCGGAUGAAGCGAGGCGGCGGGUAGGAAGAAGGCCUUAGGGUUGUAAAGUACUUUCAGCGGGGAGGCGUUACACGCAGAAGAAGCCCCGGCUAACUCCGUGCCAGCAGCCGCGGUAAUAC